UGGGGUGUGUGUGGCUGUUCUCUGCUGUAUAGUUUCCCUCCUAAAAUCUGGCAGAACCUGAAGUGUGCAGAGGUGAACAGUAGGCUCUGCACUACUUCAGGUGAGUAGUGCAGUGGACGAUGAGUAGGCUGUGGACGCCUAAGAGGCACUGUGGUGUAGAUAUGGCAUGGGCCCACCAAUUUGGGUGCCAUUCCUACUUUUACAAUCUACUAGCUGUAUGACCUUCAGCAUUUAGCUUAACCUCUCUAUGUCUUAACUUCCUGAUCUGCAAAUGGGAAUGAUGAUGGUGAGCUUCUUCCUCACAGAGUUGUUCUGAAUAAUAAAUGUGUGUGUGUGUGUGUGUGUGUGUGUGUGUACAUGUGUAUUACAAAUGAUGCAGCAGGGUGUGGUAGCUCACGCCUAUAAUCUCAGCACUUUGGGAGGCUGAUGUGGGAGGAACAUUUGAGCCCAGGAGUUCGAGACCAGCCUGGGGAAACAAAGCAAGACCUCAUCUCCACUAAAAAACAAAAACAUUAGCUAGGCGUGAUGGUGUGCACCUGUAGCCCCAGCUACUUGGGAAGCUGAGGUGGGAGGCUCUCUUGAGUCCCAGGAGGUCAAGGCUGCGGUGAGCUGUGAUUGCGCCACUACACUCCAGCCUGGGUGACAGAGUAAGACCCUGUCUCAAACAACAACAACAACAACCACGAAACAACAACAACAAAAAAGUGAUCCUUGGAACAGUGCCUAGCACGUAAUAAGGGCCACUUAAGAAUUACUUUCAGGCUGGGUGCGGUGGCUCACGCCUGUAAUCCCAGCACUUUGGGAGGCCGAGGCGGGUGGAUCACGAGGUCAAGAGAUUGAGACCAUCCUGGCUAACACGGUGAAACCCUGUCUCUACUAAAAAUGCAAAAAGUAGCCAGGCGUGGUGGCGGGUGUCUGUAGUCCCAGCUACUCGGGAGGCUGAGGCAGGAGAAUGGUGUGAACCCGGGAAGCAGAGCUUGCAGUGAGCUGAGAUCACGCCAUUGCACUCCAGCCUGGGUGACAAAGCGAG
rnacentral:lncRNA from 10 species